rnacentral:rRNA from 1 species
GACGAACGCUGGCGGCGUGCCUAAUACAUGCAAGUUGAGCGCUGAAGGUUGGUACUUGUCCCAACUGGAUGAGCAGCGAACGGGUGAGUAACGCGUGGGGAAUCUGCCUUUGAGCGGGGGACAACAUUUGGAAACGAAUGCUAAUACCGCAUAAAAACUUUAAACACAAGUUUUAAGUUUGAAAGAUGCAAUUGCAUCACUCAAAGAUGAUCCCGCGUUGUAUUAGCUAGUUGGUGAGGUAAAGGCUCACCAAGGCGAUGAUACAUAGCCGACCUGAGAGGGUGAUCGGCCACAUUGGGACUGAGACACGGCCCAAACGCCUACGGGAGGCAGCAGUAGGGAAUCUUCGGCAAUGGACGAAAGUCUGACCGAGCAACGCCGCGUGAGUGAAGAAGGGUGUCGGAUCGUAAAACUCUGUUGGUAGAGAAGAACGUUGGUGAGAGUGGAAAGCUCAUCAAGUGACGGUAACUACCCAGAAAGGGACGGCUAACUACGUG